GCAGUUGGCUUAGAACUUCAACCUGCAACGAAUCAAUGGAGAAUAUCACAAUAACAGCAAUAAAUUUGGGACUCCUUUCCCACAAACAAUUAGCAAUUUGGAAUUAAUUUGAAGUACCAUGGUCGUGGAAGUAAAGAAGUGAUAGUUGAGAAUAUCCAACCAGAAUUUUAUCAUAUGAUAAUAAAAAAAAUUUUAAGGAUUGCUUAGGAGUAAAGGGCUCAAGUGGAUGAAUUAGAGGUUUAACCAAUUGGUCAUUAAAAAAUUAAUUAAUAUAACAACUAAUUAAAAUAAAUAAAUCUAAUUAAUUAA
rnacentral:misc_RNA from 1 species